UACGAAGGGGGCUAGCGUUGUUCGGAAUUACUGGGCGUAAAGCGUGCGCAGGCGGCUUCUCAAGUCAGGGGUGAAAGCCCAGAGCUCAACUCUGGAAUUGCCUUUGAGACUGAGUGGCUUGAGUACGAGAGAGGUGAGUGGAAUUCCCAGUGUAGAGGUGAAAUUCGUAGAUAUUGGGAAGAACACCAGUGGCGAAGGCGACUUCCUGGCCUGUUCUUGACGCUGAGGCGCGAAAGCUGGGGGAGCAAACGGG
rnacentral:rRNA from 1 species